UUCUCUCACUCGCAUCAAAUCUCACCUAUAAAUACCUAUUAACUCAAACCAACUUAUGCAAUAACUUCUUGCAGGCGGGUUAACUUGAUUUAGGGAUGUUUUCGGUAUUUCUUCGGCAGGGCUCGAUCGAAUGAUAAAUGGUUCAGGUCCUACGAUGGCUGUAUGGAGAAAAUUAAAAUUUCUGUUCUAUUAUUGACUCUUUUUGAGUUUUGUUACGAUUUAGGUUUUAGGGUUUGAUGCCUGUUUUUCUGUAGUUUGUUCUGUUCAACACAAAUAUUUUCUGGACCUAAACUUUUCUCUGGCCCCGUCAACAAUGAUUUUUAAGCUUCUCACCGUGGUCAGGCAGAUCAUGUGUUUCUACGCCUCAUGCCUUUUCAAUUCAUAACUAUGGUGAAUUUUUUGAUGGCAAUAUAAUGAAUAUUGACCGGAGUUAACAGAUCAUACACGGAGGAGGGACGACAUCUAUCCUGAUUUUCCCCUAUUUAAUCAAGAAAGUGGGGGCAUUAUUUAUUUAUCUGAUAUAAUUGUGCUGGUGUAUCACGUUUUCUUCAUGUGUAGGUCAACUGAGUGGAAAAUUAGGUGUGUCAAAUGAGGACAUGCAUAAAUCUUAAGAAAGUACACUACGAUCUAAAUUUCUUCCUCGGCCUCGGUUUUUAUGCAACUGUCGUUUUUGCGGUUUGUUAUUGGGUAUUGUUGGUUUUUAUUUUCCCUUAGUCUCUCUUUAAGAAAGAUUUUAGUCUAUCUUCCAUAACCUAGGGUUUGUUGGGUUUAUGCUACGGAGGGGUGAGCCUGACCAGCUGCAGGGAAAGCAGGGAAAGUAAUGCUCAAUUUAUCUUGAUCGUAGAUGAGGCGAUGAUAGACAACUAAAGUCCCGUUGGGGGAGAGUCCAUCGGUAGAUGAGGUGAUGUUCAUCGGAAGGAGUAGCGAGCCAGAAUUGACAGGUUUUAGAUGCUUCGAAUUUGAGUACAAUCUCUCCUUUAAUCUCUCUUUUUCUCCAAUAUAUCCUAGCCGAUUUGCAGAGAUCAUUUAUUGCAGGGUAAUAAGGUAGAUUGAAUCGAACUAAAAUUAGUAUAUGGUUAUGGGUUAUGGUAUCUCCAGGGUUUCACUAUAAACAUUGGUGUGGUGCAAUCUGGGUCGCGAGUUUGGCAGAUUGACCUUGAUUUUAUUGUCUGGUUUUGAGGGUUUAACCACGAUCAUUGAAGCACUGUCCAAAAUAAUUUGAAAUAUUAAUUUUUAAAGCUUUUCCGAAAAGGUGUGUUAAGGGUCUUGUGUCAACAUUGUCCUUGAGCGAAAACAUUGAUGGCCGUGGAGUGAAUCAUCCUUGGUAAUCUGUAAGUAACUUCUUAUUGGCAUGAUUUAUUUUUGCAAUUUAAUUUGCUCUUACAAUUGGGUUAAGAAAGGAUUAAAAACAGUUCUAUGGGGAAACAUUCCGAAGGUAACUAUGCUACAGUAUGCGAAGAAACUUUAUUGGUUUGUGCCUCAGCAUGGAGGAGGUUAGUGUGUAUCUUAAUAGUGGAUGCCAAUUUCAUUACAUGCGAGGUUUUUUUGAAAUGCUAAUCGGUUAUAGCAAAUUCACCUUUAUUUAUCAUUUGCAUUGACUUUUUAAGCUAGUUUAUCUUCGGCAGGUAGUUCGGAACAGUAGAAAUCAGAGACUGAGGAACGGUGAUGUGUUAUUCAUUAGUUAUUACCUAUUACCAAUUUUCGUAAGUAAAAAAUUUCCAGUUUAUUUUGGCGAGAGAUAUUAACUUUGUGGAGAUUUGAGGACCCAAAUCUGUUGUCUUCCCUAGGUAAGAAAGUGCUCCAAUGCACAUGGAGUUAAAUUUCGACUGUGGUUUGUGUAUCUGUAUGGUGGAGGUUUGUGUUUAUCUGAAUGGUGGAUGUCUCCUUCAUUACAGGCAGGGAUCUCUGACUGUAACCAUAGUCACCAUUGUAUACCAUUUGCGUAUCUGGAUGGGGGAUGUCUACUUCAUUACAGGCAGGGAUCUUUGAAACCCUUAUCAGUAAUACUAUAGUCACCUUUACAUAUAAUUUGCUUUUACUUUUAAGCUAGGAUGUAGUCGUUUAAUCUUCGGCAGGUAAUCACGUACAUUGGAAAUCAUAGACUGCGAAACAGAAUUGUGCGCUAGAUCGCCGAUUAUUACCCAAGUAAAUCCAAGUUUUGUAAGUUAAAUGAUGGAUGUCUACUCCACUACAAACCCUUAUCGGUGGUAUCAUAGUCACCUUUAUAUAUCAUUUGUGUAUCGGAAUGGUGGAUGUCUACUUCAUUACAGGCAGGGAUCUUUGUAACCUUAAUCAGUGGUACCAUAGUCACCUUUAUAUGUCAUUUGCAUUUACUUUUAAGAUAGGGUGUAGUCGUUUAUCUUGGGCAGGUAAUUCCAAGCUGUGGAAAUCAGAGACUGCGGAACAGAGUUGUGCGCUUGAUCGCCGAUUAUCAUGUAAGUUUUGUAAGUAAAAUGGUGGAUGUCUACUUCACUACAGGAAGGCACGUUUGAAACCCUAAUUGGUUGUACCAUGGUCACCUUUUAUAUAUCAUUUGUAUUUACUUUCACGCUAGGAUGUAGUCGUGAAGGCACGUUUGAAACCCUAAUUGGUUUGUACCAUGGUCACCUUUUAUAUAUCAUUUGUAUUUACUUUCAAGCUAGGAUGUAGUCGUUUAUCUUCGGCAGGUAUUUCCGAACAGUGGAAAUCAGAGACACGAACGGAGUUGUGCGCUUGACCGCCGAUUACCAUUAAGUAAAUCAAUGUUAUGUUGUAAGUAAACUGUUGGAUGUCUACUUCAUUACAGGAACGGAUAUUUGAAACCCUAAUCGGUUGUACCUUUAUAUAUCAUUUGCAUUUACUUUUAAGGUAGGAUGUAGUCGUUUAUCUUCGGCAGGUAGAUCCGAACAUUGAAAAUCAGAGACUGCGGAGCAGAUUUGUGUGUUUGAUUGCCGAUUACCACCAAGUAAAUUAAAGUUUUGUAAGUUGAUUCGUUUCAGUUUAUCUCAACCACCAAGUAAAUUAAAGUUUUGUAAGUAGAUUCGUUUCAGUUUAUCUCAUCAUGAGGUUUAGGACUCAAACCUGUUGACUUCCUCAGGUAACAGACUGUCGAAUCUUGCUAGUAGGAGGUCUAUUUUAUUUACGUUUUUUUAAAUUUAGUGCUGGGUUGCUAAUUAGUUAGCAUUCAACUUAUAUCGACUAAAGUUAAUGCAGACUAAAGUUAAUGCAGUGAAGUAACGGGAUUUAGCUGCACAGUACCUUGUAUCUCUCACAGCCUAACAAAGAAUUUGAAUUAAAGUGGUGCAAUAUACUUGUUCCCAUUUGUCUAUUGUAAACUCUUAUCAAGUUAAUAGGUGUAUACAUGGAAAGAGAAUGCCCCCAGUGGAGACAUGGAUUUGGUGUUUCAAGCUAUAAAACAGUGCAACUUCUAGUUUUGGAAGAAGGAUAAGAACUCUUUUAACUCCCAGAUUUGAAUCAAAAGCUGUCUCUGCAAUUAGUUUUCUGCUUUUGUUCUCUUUCAUUGAACGGUAAUGUCUUAACUUGAUAAAGGAUGAAUCAAUAUUCUUUCAUGUUUGGGUUAAUAGGUGUAUACAUGGAAAGAGAGUGCCCACAGUGGACAUGGAUUUUGUGUUUCUAGCUAUAUAACAAUGCAACUUCCAGUUUAGGAAGGAGGAUAAGAACUCUUUUAACUCCCAGAUUUGGAUCAAAAGCUGUCUCUGCAAUUAUUUUUCUGCUUUUGUUCUCUUGCAUUGAACGGUAAUGUCUUAACUUGAUAAAGGAUUAAUCAACAUUUCUUUCAUGUCUGGGUUAAUAGUUGUAUACAUGGAAAGAGAAUGCCCCCAGUGGACAUGGAUUUGGUGUUUCAAGCUAUAAAAUAAUGCAACUUCUAGAUUUGAAUCAAAAGCGCUCUCUGCAAUUAUUUUUCUGCUUUUGUUCUCUUUCAUUGAACGGUAAUGUCUUAAACUUGAUAAAGGAUGAAUCAACAUUUCUUUCAUGUUUGGGUUAAUAGGUGUAUACAUGGAAAGAGAAUGCCCAAGUGCACAUCGAUUUGGUGUUUCAAGCUAUAAAACAAUGCAACUUCUAGUUUUGGAAGGAGGAUAAGAACUUCUUAACUCCCUUGUUUAAAUUCAAAGCUGUCUCUGAAAUUAUUUUUCUGUGUUUUGUUCUUAUGUUGAAUGGUAUGAACUCUUAACUUGAUAAAAGGAUGAAUCAACGUUUCUUUCAUGUCUGGGUAUAAUAGGUGUAUACAUGGAAGAGAGUGCCCACGGUGGACAUGGAUUUGGUGUUUCUAGCUGUAUAACAAUGCAACUUCCAGUUUUGGAAGGAGGACAAGAACUCUUUAACUCCUAGAUUCGAAUCAAAAGCUGUGUCUGCAAUUAUUUUUCUGCUUUAGUUCUCUUUCAUUGAACGGUAAUGUCUUAACUUGAUAAAGGAUGAAUCAACAUUUCUUUCAUGUUUGGGUUAAUAGGUGUAUACAUGGAAAGAGAAUGCCCCCAGUGGACAUGGAUUUGGUGUUUCAAGCUAUAAAACAAUGCAACUUCUAGUUUUGGAAGGAGGAUAAGAACUUUUUAACUCCCUUAUUUGAAUUCUAAGCUGUCCCUGAAAUUAUUUGUCUGCAUUUUGUUCUCGUGUUGAAUGGUAUAAAGACUUAACUUGAUAAAGGAUGAAUCAACGUUUCUUUCAUGUCUGGGUAUAAUAGGUGUAUACAUGGAAGAGCUGGGUAUGAUAGGUGUACACAUGGAAGAGAGUGCCCACAGUCUACAUGGAUUUGGUGUUUCUAGCUGUAUAACAAUGCAACUUCCAGUUUUGGAAGGAGGAUAAGAACUCUUUUAACUCCCAGAUUUGAAUCAAAAGCUAUCUCUGCAAUUAUUUUUCUGCUUUUGUUCUCUUGCAUUGAACAGUAAUGUAUAUCAAGGAUGAAUCAACAUUUCUUUUACGUCUGGGUUUAUAGGUGUAUACAUGGAAAGAGAAUGCCCCAGUGCACAUGGAUUUGGUGUUUCAAGCUAUAAAACAUUGCAACUUCUAGUUUUGGAAGGAGAAUAAGAAACUAGGAGGAGGAUAAGAACUUCUUAACUCCCUUAUUUGAAUUCAAAGCUGUCUCUGAAAUUUUUUUUUCUGAGUUUUGUUCUCGUUGAAUGGUAUGAAGUCUUAGCUUGAUAAAAGAUGAAUCAACGUUUCUUUCAUGUCUGGGUAUAAUAGAUGUAUACAUGGAAGAGAGUGCCCACAGUGGACAUGGAUUUGGUGUUUCUAGCUAUAUAACAAUGCAACUUCCAGUUUAGGAAGGAGGAUAAGAACUCUUAACUCCCAGAUUUGAAUCAAAAGCUGUCUCUGCAAUUAUUUUUCUGCCUUUGUUCUCUUGCAUUGAACGGUAAUGUCUUAACUUGAUAAAGGACGAAUCAACAUUUCUUUUACGUGUGGGUUAAUAGGUGUAUACAUGGAAAGAGAAUGCCCAAGUGCACAUGGAUUUGGUGUUUCAAACUAUAAAACAAUGCCAACUUCUAGUUUUGGAAGAGGAGGAUAAGAACUUCUUAACUCCCUUAUUUAAAUUCAAAGCUGUGUCUGAAAUUUUUUUUCUGUGUUUUGUUCUCAUGUUGAAUGGUAUGAAGUCUUAACUUGAUAAAAGGAUGAAUCAACGUUUCUUUCAUGUCUGGGUAUAAUAGGUGUAUACAUGGAAGAGAGUGCACACAGUGGACAUGGAUUUGGUGUUUCUAGCUAUAUAACAAUGCAACUUCCAGUUUAGGAAGGAGGAUAAGAACUCUUUAACUCCUAGAUUUGAAUCAAAAGCUGUCUCUGCAAUUAUUUUUCUGCUUAGUUCUCUUGCAUUGAACGGUAAUGUCUUAACUUGAUAAAGGAUGAAUCAACAUUUCUUUCAUGUUUGGGUUAAUAGGUGUAUACAUGGAAAGAGAAUGCCCCCAGUGGACAUGGAUUUGGUGUUUCAAGCUAUAAAACAAUGCAACUUCUAGUUUUGGAAGGAGGAUAAGAACUUCUUAACUCCCUUAUUUGAAUUCUAAGCUGUCCCUGAAAUUAUUUUUCUGCGUUUUGUUCUCGUGUUGAAUGGUAUAAAGACUUAACUUGAUAAAGGAUGAAUCAACGUUUCUUUCAUGUCUGGGUAUAAUAGGUGUAUACAUGGAAGAGCUGGGUAUAAUAGGUGUACACAUGGAAGAGAGUGCCCACAGUGGACAUGGAUUUGGUGUUUCUAGCUGUAUAACAAUGCAACUUCCAGUUUUGGAAGGAGGAUAAGAACUCUUUAACUCCCAGAUUUGAAUCAAAAGCUAUCUCUGCAAUUAUUUUUCUGCUUUUGUUCUCUUGCAUUGAACAGUAAUGUAUUAACUUGAUAAAGGAUGAAUCAACAUUUCUUUUACGUCUGGGUUGAUAGGUGUAUACAUGGAAAGAGAAUGCCCCAGUGCACAUGGAUUUGGUGUUUCAAGCUAUAAAACAUUGCAACUUCUAGUUUUGGAAGGAGGAUAAGAAACUAGAAGGAGGAUAAGAACUUCUUAACUCCCUUAUUUGAAUUCAAAGCUGUCUCUGAAAUUAUUUUUUCUGAGUUUUGUUCUCGUUGAAUGGUAUGAAGUCUUAGCUUGAUAAAAGAUGAAUCAACGUUUCUUUCAUGUCUGGGUAUAAUAGAUGUAUACAUGGAAGAGAGUGCCCACAGUGGACAUGGAUUUGGUGUUUCUAGCUAUAUAACAAUGCAACUUCCAGUUUAGGAAGGAGGAUAAGAACUCUUUAACUCGCAGAUUUGAAUCAAAAGCUGUCUCUGCAAUUAUUUUUCUGCCUUUGUUCUCUUGCAUUGAACGGUAAUGUCUUAACUUGAUAAAGGACGAAUCAACAUUUCUUUUACGUGUGGGUUAAUAGGUGUAUACAUGGAAAGAGAAUGCCCAAGUGCACAUGGAUUUGGUGUUUCAAGCUAUAAAACAAUGCAACUUCUAGUUUUGGAAGGAGGAUAAGAACUUCUUAACUCCCUUAUUUAAAUUCAAAGCUGUCUCUGAAAUUAUUUUUCUGUGUUUUGUUCUCAUGUUGAAUGGUAUGAAGUCUUAACUUGAUAAAAGGAUGAAUCAACGUUUCUUUCAUGUCUGGGUAUAAUAGGUGUAUACAUGGAAGAGAGUGCACACAGUGGACAUGGAUUUGGUGUUUCUAGCUAUAUAACAAUGCAACUUCCAGUUUUGGAAGGAGGACAAGAACUCUUUUAACUCCUAGAUUCGAAUCAAAAGCUGUGUCUGCAAUUAUUUUUCUGCUUUAGUUCUCUUUCAUUGAACGGUAAUGUCUUAACUUGAUAAAAGAUGAAUCAACAUUUCUUUCAUGUUUGGGUUAAUAGGUGUAUACAUGGAAAGAGAAUGCCCCCAGUGGACAUGGAUUUGGCGUUUCAAGCUAUAAAACAAUGCAACUUCUAGUUUUGGAAGGAGGAUAAGAACUUUUCAACUCCCUUAUUUGAAUUCUAAGCUGUCCCUGAAAUUAUUUUUCUGCAUUUUGUUCUCGUGUUGAAUGGUAUAAAGACUUAACUUGAUAAAGGAUGAAUCAACGUUUCUUUCAUGUCUGGGUAUAAUAGGUGUAUACAUGGAAGAGCUGGGUAUGAUAGGUGUACACAUGGAAGAGAGUGCUCACAGUGGACAUUGAUUUGGUGUUUCUAGCUGUAUAACAAUGCAACUUCCAGUUUUGGAAGGAGGAUAAGAACCCUUUAACUCCCAGAUUUGAAUCAAAAGCUAUCUCUGCAAUUGUUUUUCUGCUUUUGUUCUCUUGCAUUGAACAGUAAUGUAUUAACUUGAUAAAGGAUGAAUCAACUUUUCUUUUACGUCUUGGUUAAUAGGUGUAUACAUGGAAAGAGAAUGCCCCAGUGCACAUGGAUUUGGUGUUUCAAGCUAUAAAACAAUGCAACUUCUAGUUUUGGAAGGAGGAUAAGAAACUAGGAGGAGGAUAAGAACUUCUUAACUCCCUUAUUUGAAUUCAAAGCUGUCUCUGAAAUUGUUUUUUCUGAGUUUUGUUCUCGUUGAAUGGUAUGAAGUCUUAGCUUGAUAAAAGAUGAAUCAACUUUUCUUUCAUGUCUGGGUAUAACAGAUGUAUACAUGGAAGAGAGUGCCCACAGUGGACAUGGAUUUGGUGUUUCUAGCUAUAUAACAAUGCAACUUCCAGUUUAGGAAGGAGGAUAAGAACUCUUUAACUCCCAGAUUUGAAUCAAAAGCUGUCUCUGCAAUUAUUUUUCUGCCUUUGUUCUCUUGCAUUGAACGGUAAUGUCUUAACUUGAUAAAGGAUGAAUCGACAUUUCUUUCAUGUCUGGGUUAAUAGGUGUCUACAUGGAAAGAGAAUGCCCCAGUGGACAUGGAUUUGGUGUUCAAAGCUAUAAAACAAUGCAACUUCUAGUUUUGGAAGGAGGAUAAGAACUUCUUAACUCCCUUAUUUGAAUUCAAUGCUGUCUCUGAAAUUAGUUUUCUGCGUUUUGUUCUCGUGUUGAUGGUAUGAAGUCUUUAACUUGGUAAAGGAUGAAUCAGCAUUUCUUUAAUGUCUGGGUAUAAUAGGUGUAUACAUGGAAGAGAGUGCCCACAGUGGACAUGGAUUUGGUGUUUCUAGCUAUAUAACAAUGCAACUUCCAGUUUAGGAAGGAGGAUAAUAACUCUUUUAACUCCCAGAUUUGAAUCAAAAGCUGUCUCUGCAAUUAUUUUUCUGCUUUUGUUCUCUUGCAUUGAACGGUAAUGUCAUAACUUGAUAAAGGAUGAAUCAACAUUUCUUUCAUGUCUGGGUUAAUAGGUGUAAACAUCGAAAGAGAAUGCCCCCAGUGGACAUGGAUUUGGUGUUUCAAGCUAUAAAACAAUGCAACUUCUAGUUUUGGAACGAGGAUAAGAACUUCUUAACUCCCUUAUUUGGAUUCAAAGCUGUCUCUGAAAUUAUUUUUCUGCGUUUUGUUCUCGUGUUGAAUGGUAUGAAGCCUUAAACUUGAUAAAGGAUGAAUCAACGUUUCGUUCAUGUUUGGGUUAAUAGGUGUAUACAUGGAAGAGAGUGCCCGCAGUGGACAUGGAUUUGGUGUUUCUAGCUAUAUAACAAUGCAUCUUCCAGUUUUGGAAGGAGGAUAAGAACUCUUUAACUCCCAGAUUUGAAUCAAAAGCUCUCUGCAAUUAUUUUUCUGCUUUUGUUCUCUUGCAUUGAACGGUAAUGUCUUACUUGAUAAAGGGGGAUGAAUCAACAUUUCUUUCAUGUCUGGGUUAAUAGGUGUAUACAUGGAAAGAGAAUGCCCCCAGGGGACAUGGAUUUGCGAAUAUGUUAAUUUCUGAAUUUGGCCUUUUGUGAACAUAACCAAUGAAAAUAUCAUUCAAUUUGUUUAUUUGUGCUGACUCGUGAAUUUCCUAUAGUGAACGGUGAUUUAGCAACCACUUCUGGAAAUUUUAUAUGGUUGGUGUAAUGGGCUAUGCUUGAAUUUUAUAUAGUUGGUGUAAUGAGCUAUGCUUGAAUUUUAUAUAGUUGGUGUAAUGGGCUAUAUGCUUGAUUAUGCAAGCCUAGUUCCAAAUGAUUAAAGAGCAUUAAAUUUGUCAAUUUCUGAAUCUGGUCUUUCUUGGUUUACUCUUAAUCCAAGAGCGUUAAAUUUGUUUUUGAUGCCAACCUAGGUUAUUGCAGAGAUAUAAAAGGGUGAAGUGUAACAAUAUAUAUUACCUCAUUACAGUGAAGUGACAAUGAAGUCGAAGUGGUGCAAGGUCUCAUCCCAUACCAUCUUCUUAUGUUUCUUCUAUUGUACUUCUGGUAGUUGUCUGUAGUGAAUUUGAUACAUGAAUUUGUUCAUGAGGGGUACUGCGUUUGUUAUUUGUGUGGGUGAUUGAAGCACGUGCUUCUUGGUUGAGAGUCGAAACUGAGUAAAGUUUUACUUAUCAUCCCUGUUCUGUUGGGUUCUGAUGUUUUGUGACAGUUCUCGAACAGUGAAUUUUUCGUGACUGGUAGAGUUAGCAACUACAUCUGCUUAGUCUAUAUAGGUUGGAUGAUUGGCUGUGCUUGAUUAUAACCGUUAAUUUUUGAAUCGGGUUUGUAUCAACUUGUUUUUGACGCUAAGUUAGAUUUUUGUAGCGAAAUAAAAGGACAGUGAAGUAACAAUGAAGGAUAGAAGUGCUGCUAGGUUUCAUGCUUAACCUUACAAAUUUAUUCCCUCGCCAUAUAGUUUUACCAGCGUACAAUGUUUUUUCAGUUGAACUUUUGGUAGUUGUCUGUAGUGAACAUCACAUAUGAAGCGUACAAUGUUUUUUCGGUUGAACUUUUGAUUGUUGUCUGUAGUGAACAUCACAUAUGAAGUUGUUCAUGGGGGACUGAGUUUGUGAUUUGGGUGGGUUUUGUACAAAUUAUUAUAGUCGGUGAUUGAAUUACUCGAUCGAUCCAGAUGCAGCUUCUUGGUUGAGAGCUGGAACCAAGUAAAGUUGGAGCUGUUGCAUAUUGGCGUAAGUGGCGUGAAGUUUCAAUAAGCAUUUUCCAUAUAGCGCAGUCCUAUUAUCCAUGGUUGUGAGGUUUUAGGAUUCAGCAUUUGCCCAGUCACCGGCUAAUGAUCCAUCUCCAAUUUUAUUUUGGCAGUUGUAUGGCAACAACUUUUAUCAAUUUGGUGUUUAAUCACCUUAGAAGAUCGAAUUAAUUAUUUUAUACUAAUAAUGUUUUGAUCACGUUUGUCUUUAAUUCUUCUUUAAUUCGCCGAUAGGCCACAUAUAGGGCGAAAGCCCACCGGAUUUUCCUCAUGUCUGAUGCCGGAUUAUUUUCUAGUGUCUGACAAUGGAAAAAUUUACUGUGUCGUAUUUACGGAGUUAUAGCUCA